GCGUGUUGGUUUCCCAGCUCAUUGAUUUCCGUUUCUAUCAAUUCCUAGUUUCUUUUGGUGCUUAAACUAUAUAGGUCCUUUAUUUUUGUUUUCCUAUUAUAACACAGGAGUGAAAGUGUUUGCUUUUCCUCUGAAUUUGCUGCUGGAGCUCAAGCGAGAGUUCGCCUUCAAAGAUGCCCUCUACAUGUGUGAGGUCACCUGAAGUUCGCUGUCCCCUGAUCCUCCUGAACAUGAGGGAGAACUGGUUGGAUCCCCCAGCUAAGUGGCAGACACUGGUUUUGGUGGCCACAGGGGGCAGCCCGUGUGACAGGCACAUGCUAAGGCCUGCCAGUGGAGGAGGUAGUACCUUUGAAGAUGCCAUUGACCACCUGGCCACAGCCAGCCAGGGGCCUGGUAGCAGGGGGUGUCACCUGAGACAAGCCGUCCUGGAUGGCCUCCAGCAACUCAGGGAUAACAUGGGCUUCGGGAGGGACCCUCUGGUCCAGCUGCCCCACCCAACCACCCUUAUUAGCUCCAAGUCCCUCUCCAAGCCUUUGCCAAACUCCCCAGACCCACUGCUCUCCUCCUUUUCCCAUCCUGGUUCCCCAUCUUCCUUAUCUCCACCAUCCACCCAGGAGGCGUCUGCCACUGCUGACAUGCUGUCGGCUCCCCCUUGGUGCGAGAGGUAGGCUCCCAGAAAGACCCUGGAAAGUCCCUGCCACCCACACCACCAAUGGGGCUGCCCCCACCCCAGGAGUCUGGUUGGGGGAACCCAUUUAUGCUGUUCCUCUACCUGGCCCUCCUGCUGGAGCACCGCAACCACACCAUGUGCAAUGCGCUGGAUGACAACGAGCUGGCCAUGUGCUUUGACCGCCUCAUGUGAAAACGCCACCUGGGGCGUGUCCUGUGCUGGGCCAGGGCUCUCUUUGCUGAUUACCUGCAGUGUGGGACUUGGAGGAGGGGGCUGAGGCCACAGCUACAUCUU
rnacentral:lncRNA from 1 species